UGCGUAGGCGGGUCUUUAAGUCAGGGGUGAAAUCCUGGAGCUCAACCCCAGAACUGCCUUUGAUACUGAAGAUCUUGAGUUCGGGAGAGGUGAGUGGAACUGCGAGUGUAGAGGUGAAAUUCGUAGAUAUUCGCAAGAACACCAGUGGCGAAGGCGGCUCACUGGCCCGAUACUGACGCUGAGGCACGAAAGCGUGGGAGCAAACA
rnacentral:rRNA from 1 species